rnacentral:rRNA from 1 species
GAUGAACGCUGGCGGCGUGCCUAAUACAUGCAAGUCGAGCGAACAGACGAGGAGCUUGCUCCUCUGACGUUAGCGGCGGACGGGUGAGUAAUACGUGGAUAACCUACCUAUAAGACUGGGAUAACUUCGGGAAACCGGAGCUAAUACCGGAUAAUAUAUUGAACCGCAUGGUUCAAUAGUGAAAGACGGUUUUGCUGUCACUUAUAGAUGGAUCCGCGCCGCAUUAGCUAGUUGGUAAGGUAACGGCUUACCAAGGCGACGAUGCGUAGCCGACCUGAGAGGGUGAUCGGCCACACUGGAACUGAGACACGGUCCAGACUCCUACGGGAGGCAGCAGUAGGGAAUCUUCCGCAAUGGGCGAAAGCCUGACGGAGCAACGCCGCGUGAGUGAUGAAGGUCUUCGGAUCGUAAAACUCUGUUAUUAGGGAAGAACAAAUGUGUAAGUAACUAUGCACGUCUUGACGGUACCUAAACAGAAAGCCACGGCUAACUACGUG